AACGCUAGCUACAGGCUUAACACAUGCAAGUCGAGGGGCAGCAUUUUAGUUUGCUUGCAAACUAAAGAUGGCGACCGGCGCACGGGUGAGUAACACGUAUCCAACCUGCCGAUAACUCGGGGAUAGCCUUUCGAAAGAAAGAUUAAUAUCCGAUAGUAUAUUUUCUCCGCAUGGCGAGAAUAUUAAAGAAUUUCGGUUAUCGAUGGGGAUGCGUUCCAUUAGUUUGUUGGCGGGGUAACGGCCCACCAAGACAACGAUGGAUAGGGGUUCUGAGAGGAAGGUCCCCCACAUUGGAACUGAGACACGGUCCAAACUCCUACGGGAGGCAGCAGUGAGGAAUAUUGGUCAAUGGACGAGAGUCUGAACCAGCCAAGUAGCGUGAAGGAUGACUGCCCUAUGGGUUGUAAACUUCUGUUAUAUGGGAAUAAAGUUUUCCACGUGUGGAAUUUUGUAUGUACCAUAUGAAUAAGGAUCGGCUAACUCCGUGCCAGCAGCCGCGGUAAUACGGAGGAUCCGAGCGUUAUCCGGAUUUAUUGGGUUUAAAGGGAGCGUAGGUGGAUUGUUAAGUCAGUUGUGAAAGUUUGCGGCUCAACCGUAAAAUUGCAGUUGAAACUGGCAGUCUUGAGUACAGUAGAGGUGGGCGGAAUUCGUGGUGUAGCGGUGAAAUGCUUAGAUAUCACGAAGAACUCCGAUUG
rnacentral:rRNA from 1 species